AGUGAACGCUGGCGGUAGGCCUAACACAUGCAAGUCGAACGGCAGCACAGUAAGAGCUUGCUCUUACGGGUGGCGAGUGGCGGACGGGUGAGGAAUACAUCGGAAUCUACUUUUUCGUGGGGGAUAACGUAGGGAAACUUACGCUAAUACCGCAUACGACCUACGGGUGAAAGCAGGGGAUCUUCGGACCUUGCGCGAUUGAAUGAGCCGAUGUCGGAUUAGCUAGUUGGCGGGGUAAAGGCCCACCAAGGCGACGAUCCGUAGCUGGUCUGAGAGGAUGAUCGGCCCAAUGGGAAAUGAGAACCGGCCCGGGCCCCACGGGGGGGCAGCGGGGGGGAAUUUUGGAAAAUGGGGGAAACCCUGACCCAGCCACCCGGGGGGGGUGAAGAAGGCCUUCGGUUUGAAAAGCCCUUUUGUUGGGAAAAAAAAACAGCAGGUUAAACCCCCGCGGUUUGGCCGGUACCAAAAAAAUAAGCACCGGCAACUUUGGG
rnacentral:rRNA from 1 species